UUAGUGAACUGCGGAAGAUCAUUGUUG
rnacentral:rRNA from 1 species